AAAACUUUUACCGCCAUGUAGCUACGAAUGUGCUCUUUUGAAUCUUCCUUCUAGUUUUUCUGAUUCACUUAUCAUGGCAACCAAUCGCAGCAGUUAUGUUAUUUACCCGGGCAAAACAAACAAAAUACAUGUCCAGUUAGCGAGCUAAUUUGGCAAGCCCUUCUACUUAAAUACAAGGUCCACAAUGAUGUCAACCGGUGAUUUGAAAGGAUGUCUUCGGAAGCUGGAUGUUAAACUACGGGCAUUGAAGUACCCAAGAGAGGUCGACUAUAAUGGCUUGGCCAAAGGGGAUCCUUCUGCCUUUCUCCCCAUAGUGAGUUAUGCAUUCAUCUCCUAUUCACCACACCUUGCUGAACACCUGGUGGGCUUCGGAGUGGAACUCACUGGGAAGAACGACCUACGUUUUAUCGAAUGCAUCUACAAGGUACUGCGGGAUCUCUUCCACUACAAACCCGUCCUGACCAAGCAGCAGUUCCUCCAGUUUGGCUAUGCAGAAAGAAAGACCUGCAUCCUCUGUGAUGUCAUCGCCUUCGCCCUGCAGAAACACAAAGAGCUCAGCAAAGGCAACAAGCCAAAGCCGAGAGCUCGUUUUCAGGCCUCGAGUUCAGACUCCAAAAGUGAGGCUCUCCCAUUUCAGGCUGAAACAAUGAACCCCAUGGCCACCACAUUGUCCCUAAGCAGGCCACUAGUGGAGAGACACAUUGGGGGUGACUCCUGGGUCUCCUCUAGUAGAACCUCUGAUAAUGAAGAGUCUGAGGAAGAGGAGGAGGGGCUGGGACUGGAGGAGGUCCAGAACCAAGCACCUACAGUCCCUCAAACAGACCUGGUGGUGGAGGGGAGGCUGGCAGCGCUGGAGGUCCAGCUGCCGCAGAUCCAGACUAGGCUGGGGAGGCUCUCGGCCCUGGAGCAGAGGCUGGAGCUUCUAGAGAAGGCCGGGAGGAUCACUAUAGACAAGCACCAGUGGGAGAACCUGGAGAGCAGAGUGCUACUGCUGGAGACCAGACUGACCCUCUCCACAGCCAUGGCCCAGGUGUGUGUGUCCGUCCGUCCGUCCGUCCAUAUCCACUGCAAAGGGAUUAUUGGAUACUGUGUCAGCCAUGGCCCAGGAGUCGUCGUCACUUAUCAAUAGAGGUUGGAGUCAUCACAUGGCGGAUAAUGCAAAAGAAGUCACUGAGUCAAGACCCAGUCCUCCAGAGAGCCUCCUACACAACUCUGGCUGUGAGCGUCCUCAGUCCUCCACCCCUUCUGCUAGCUAUCCCAUCAGCCCCUGUGUGACAACGGCACCCCCAGAGGUAAUGGCAGAUAUUACAAGUAAAUAUAAUGGAAACAUUAGAAGACUAUUUGGGCUGGAUUCAAUCUGGAGUAUUGUGAAAGAGCCACGUUAUAUGUUGAUUUUGACAUUUUAAAGGCAAUGUUCGAGAGACUUCAUUCACGGUAAACUCUGCAUAUGCCGACUCAAUUGGAAAUUACCAUCAAAUUUUUACGCGGAUCUUCCGCAAUACGGAUUAAAUCAAGCACUUUGUUUUUCAUUCUGUCUUGACUCAUUUUCUUUAGGAGAAUAUGAAAGGGAGAUUGGAAAGAAUAGCCAACAUGAUGAAAGACACAUCCAGCCUUUUAAGAAGUAUAGAACCCUCAAUGUAAAUUCAGACUUUAAAAAGAUAUGUAUUUUUGUAAUUGAUCUCCGGAUUAGUAUGUGAGUGAUGAAUAAAGGUAUCAUGGAUAAAUAUCGACUUGUUCACA